rnacentral:rRNA from 1 species
UGGGGAAUAUUGGACAAUGGGCGAAAGCCUGAUCCAGCGACGCCGCGUGGGUGAAGAAGGCCUGCGGGUUGUAAAGCCCUUUCGGUGGGGAAGAAAAGCCUCGUUUUAAUACAGCGGGGUCUUGACGUAACCCAAGAAAGAAGCACCGGCUAACUCUGUGCCAGCAGCCGCGGUAAUACGUAGGGAGCAAGCGUUGUUCGGAUUUACUGGGCGUAAAGGGCGCGUAGGCGGCGCGGUAAGUCACUUGUGAAAUCUCUGAGCUUAACUCAGAACGGCCAAGUGAUACUGCAGUGCUAGAGUGCAGAAGGGGCAAUCGGAAUUCUUGGUGUAGCGGUGAAAUGCGUAGAUAUCAAGAGGAACACCUGAGGUGAAGACGGGUUGCUGGGCUGACACUGACGCUGAGGCGCGAAAGCCAGGGGAGCAAA